rnacentral:rRNA from 1 species
UGGGGAAUAUUGGACAAUGGGCGCAAGCCUGAUCCAGCCAUGCCGCGUGGGUGAAGAAGGCCUUCGGGUUGUAAAGCCCUUUUGUUGGGAAAGAAAAGCAGCCGGCCAAUACCCGGUUGUUCUGACGGUACCCAAAGAAUAAGCACCGGCUAACUUCGUGCCAGCAGCCGCGGUAAUACGAAGGGUGCAAGCGUUACUCGGAAUUACUGGGCGUAAAGCGUGCGUAGGUGGUGGUUUAAGUCCGUUGUGAAAGCCCUGGGCUCAACCUGGGAACUGCAGUGGAUACUGGAUCACUAGAGUGUGGCAGAGGGUAGUGGAAUUCCCGGUGUAGCAGUGAAAUGCGUAGAGAUCGGGAGGAACAUCAGUGGCGAAGGCGACUGCCUGGGCCAACACUGACACUGAGGCACGAAAGCGUGGGGAGCAAACA